rnacentral:rRNA from 1 species
UACGAGGGGUGCAAGCGUUAUUCGGAAUUAUUGGGCGUAAAGGGUGCGUAGACGGCAUAUUAAGUCAACUGUUAAAACCUCCGGCCUAACCGGAGAUCAGCAGUAGAUACUGGUAAGCUAGAGGGUGGAAGAGAGAAGUGGAAUUCUUGGAGUAGCGGUGGAAUGCGUAGAUCUCAAGAGGAACACCAAUGGCGAAGGCAGCUUCUUGGUCCAUUUCUGACGUUGAGGCACGAAAGCGUGGGGAGCAAAUAGGAUUAGAUACCCUGGUAGUCCGCGCUGUAAACGAUGAUCACUAGAUGUUAAUUCUGCUUGCAGAGUUAGUGUCGUAGCUAACGCGAUAAGUGAUCCGCCUGGGGACUACGGUCGCAAGAUUAAAACUCAAAGGAAUUGACGGGGGUCCGCACAAGCGGUGGAACAUGUGGUUUAAUUCGACACUACGCGAGAAACCUUACCCAGGUUUGACAUGUAUAUGACCGCUAGAGAGAUUUAGUUUCUUAGGGGUAACCUUAAGCAUAUACACAGGUGCUGCAUAGCUGUCGUCAGCUCGUGUCGUGAGAUGUUGGGUUAAGUCCUAUAACGAGCGCAACCCUUGCUGUCAGUUGCUAUUCCGUGAGGAAGCACUCUGAUGGGACUGCCUGGGAAACCAGGAGGAAGGUGGGGAUGAUGUCAAGUCAGCAUGGCCCUUAUGUCUGGGGCUACACACGUGUUACAAUGGUUAAUACUAAGGGCUGCAAAUCCGCAAGGAGAAGCUAAUCCCAUAAAGUUAAUCUAAGUUCGGAUUGAGGUCUGAAACUCGACCUCAUGAAGUUGAAAUCGCUAGUAAUCGCAUAUCAGCAUGGUGCGGUGAAUACGUUCUCGGACCU